rnacentral:pre_miRNA from 14 species
AAGAUCCCUCCCCAGAUGCCAGUAUCACUUCCUUAUCACUUUUCCAGCCCAGCUUUUCAUGACAAACUGUUGGACGGAGAACUGAUAAGGCUGUGUGACUGCCACACUCUUCUGGAAGUUUC